UACGGAGGAUCCGAGCGUUAUCCGGAUUUAUUGGGUUUAAAGGGUGCGCAGGCGGGAGAUUAAGUCGGCGGUGAAAUUUUGCAGCUCAACUGUAAAAGUGCCUUCGAAACUGGUUUCCUUGAGUGUGGAUGAAGUAGGCGGAAUUUGUGGUGUAGCGGUGAAAUGCAUAGAUAUCACGAGGAACUCCGAUUGCGCAGGCAGCUUACUAAACCAUAACUGACGCUCAGGCACGAAGGCGUGGGGAUCAAACAGGAUUAGAUAUCCCCGUAGU
rnacentral:rRNA from 1 species